GCGGGAGUGGAGGAACUUGGUCAGACUCAGCGUCCUCAAAAGGCGCCGCCCGUGAGGGCAUGUGGGUUCGAAUCCCACCUCCCGCA
rnacentral:tRNA from 1 species